AAUGGAAAAAGGAGAAAAUAAUAAAAC
rnacentral:sRNA from 1 species